rnacentral:lncRNA from 1 species
CCUGCAGGGUGUGCCAAUUUACCUGUACACGUUCGUCCAACCCUUAUUGCCACUCGAGUAGGAACACACAAAAAGGUGUGUCGGCAGGAUUGGGCGACACGACGUUUCCAAGCCCCACAACUAAUCCAGGGAACCACCCAACUGAGUCUAAUCCGAAACGAGAGCCCGGCCGAAGCGUCGUACGGACUCAAGAGUUGCGUGGACAGCUGGUAGUGGUUCAGUGUCCGCAGAAUGACCACUCCAGACUAGUGCCGCAAUCCUAUAUGAAUGCAAAGUCACCAACAAGUCUCCA